AUAACUAUGGCAGAGAGCAGGAGGAUUGACAUGGCCCUGAGGCAAGACUAUGAAAGUGUACUCUUAGCCCUGACGAGUAGAAACAAACUGUUCCUGGUGGUCUUUACAAAUUGGUAUGGAGGAAAAGGCAUACAGCAGCUUCUGAUAGGAAUUUCCUCGCUGACCUUCCAGUCGCCACUAACAGUCUCUUCCAAACUUCUCCAUUCCUUCUAUCAGACUCAAAAACAAUGUCACAUGUUAUGGCAGGACCUCACUUUCAGCUCUAUGGGUUGACCAGGUGGUUAUGCUUCACAUGUUGUUGGCUUGGAAUUGGGACGUCCAGAAGAUUUUAAAUAGACUCACAUAUGGCUGGAAAUUGGUACUGGCUGCUGGCUGGGAGCUCAGCUAGAGUUGGCUAGGGGGCCUCAGUUCUCCUCCAGAGGGGCUUCACCACAUGGUAGCUUAUGUUUUUU
rnacentral:lncRNA from 1 species